rnacentral:rRNA from 3 species
GACCUCAGAUCAGGCAAGACUAC